rnacentral:rRNA from 1 species
UUUUGAGAAUUUGAUCCUGGUUCAGAUUGAAUGCUGACGGCGUGGAUGAGGCAUGCAAGUCGAACGAAAUAGUAGCAAUGCUAUUUAGUGGCGAAAGGGUUAGUAAUACAUGAAUAAUCUGCCUUUUACCUGGGGAUAACAACUGGAAACGAUUGCUAAUACCGAAUGACAAUAGCUUGUGGCAUCACAAAUUAUUGAAAGUUGGGGACUUCUAAAGAAGCCUAACGGUAAAAGAAGAGUUCAUGUGAUAUCAGCUUGUUGGUGUGGUAAAAGCACACCAAGGCUUGGACGUCUAGGCGGAUUGAGAGAUUGAUCGCCAACACUGGGACUGAGACACUGCCCAGACUCCUACGGGAGGCUGCAGUCGAGAAUCUUUCGCAAUGGGCGAAAGCCUGACGAAGCGACGCCGUGUGAACGAAGAAGGCCUUCGGGUUGUAAAGUUCUUUCGCCUGGGAACAAGAGAGAGGAGCUAAUAACUUCUCAAUUUGAGGGUACCAGGUAAAGAAGCACCGGCUAACUCCGUGCCAGCAGCUGCGGUAAUACGGAGGGUGCAAGCAUUAAUCGGAUUUAUUGGGCGUAUAGGGGGCGUAGGCGGUUAGGAAAGUCAGAUGUGAAAUUCCGUGGCUCAACCACGGAGCUGCAUUUGAAACUUCUUAACUCGAGGAUGGACGGAGAAAAUGGAAUUCCACGUGUAGCGGUGAAAUGCGUAGAU